AGCUAACGCGUAACGAGUAUUAACGAUUAUUUCCUACGACAAAGCCUAACGAGUACAAACGACCGCGCGGAAAACUGUCGUCGCCAUUUUCCUGACUGAUGCAUACCCUGUUUUUUUUUUUGUUUUUUUUUUCUCUUCAUUUUCUGUUCGCUAAAAGCUGCUCCAAAGGUCGGCAAGCGAUCCAAAAUCGAAUGAUAUUUCGUGUAAAAUAUAAUCGUACGGUAGUCGGAAACUUGCGAGGUAACACGAGGGGUCAGAAGGGUAUUUUUAAACGUCGAGUAAUUUUCGAUUCAACAUCGAUGGAUUUCUUUUUCCCGAUUCAUUAACCUUUUUGUUUUGUUUUGUUUUGUUUUGUUUGUUUGUUUUUUUUUUCUAUUUAUUUAUUCAUUUACUUCUGUUUGCGUAGGUGCGCAGUGUAGGUAGUCAUUGUUUUGUGGUCCGCUUUAAUUUAAAAGCUUUGAAAUGAGGGUCGGAAAAUUUACGAACACACCGAACAAUUGGUAGAGAAUUGAAACUGAAAUACAAGGGCUCUCGUCUACAUGGUAUAUAUAAUAGGGUGGCAGCGAUUGUUUGUAAAACGCAUUGAAAGCGGAGCCGCCUUAACAAAGCUCAUCAAUUAGCGACUUAUUCUCAGGGGGGUAAGUCGAGUGGACAGGCGGUGAGAAAGUUUGAUAAAAUAAUAAAAAAUUUUAAGAACCGCAGCCGCUGUAAACGAUAACGCGGAACGAAAGGAGGAAAGAAAGGACAGCGGAGAGAACGAAAUAAGAUAAAAUUGAAAGCAUGAAGUGAACUGUAAGACAAACGUCGUAUAUAUACGAGAACGAUGACUGGGAAAAUAUCCAGCUGAAAAUUGUACCAUGAGAAAGGAAAUAUUGCUGAAAUUGUAAGAAUUCGUGUACUCUACGGAUGAUACAAUAACGGAGUCAGCGAAAAUAAUACAUCGUUCGAGCUCCACUCGCUUAUAUAUAUCCAUAUAUCGAUGUAUAAUGCAGAAAAACUGAAAGUGCUGUCGUCUUAUUCAACAGUUUUCACUUUUUCCGAGAUUUCUUGCACACUAUUUCCCCCCUCUCUCUCUCUCUCUCUCUCUCUCUCUCUCCGUCUCCGAUCAAUAACCCGCGGCGAUGACGAACGUUCAACGACCAUUCCACCCGCGAACAGAGAUACUCGUACCUACUCCAACAAAAUAACUGACAUAAUCAACGAUUUCCGAGUUGUGGACAUGGGAAGAAACUUCCUGCACGGUGCUAUUCUUGAUAGGAAAACCGCGAGCGAGCGGCACCGGCACCGGCACCGGCACCGGCACCGGUACCAGCAGCCAAGAGUAGAAUUCUCUCGGUAAUACCAACGGCGAUGCUAACAAUGAUAAUCCUACAGGAGCUCUCCAGAAUUGUUCACACGACUCUACCCGCCUGGUUUUACUUCCCUGUCGCUUACGCCCGAAUGUUUCCGCUUGAUGCGCCAACGAUUCGCGCAAAAGUUUGCUAAUUAAUGAGACUCGCAAUUAACUGGAAUGCAACUCACCACCGCGGCCACGCUACCCCCUUUUCCGAAAGCUCAGCUUUGCCCGGUAUUACCCUAUGUACGUACGUAUGUAUAUUUGUACGUACCUACUCCACUCCGCGCCACACUUAAUCGCAUUUUAUUCUCAUUCUGCUUUCAAUUUUUUUCGUACGCCCGCAGAUCCUCGCCGGCCACAUACCUACCCCUGGCCUUCGUCGAGGUCCCAAAAUAAAUCUCCGAAUCACGUCUUUGAAAUCGGGUCCAUUUCAAAAUUUACAUCUCGACCACACUCGCGGGAGAACCGGUAUAGAUUGGGCGUCACCGUUGCUUCACGCCCUUGUUUCGCACGUCGAGUGCGUCUAAGAAGGGAGAAGAAAGAAAAGAAAAAAAGAAAAAAAAAAAAAAGGAAGAGAAGAGAAGGGAAGGGAGGCAGAAGAAGAAACUGAAGCGGUAUAGAAUGUGGGGAUCAGGAGUUCCAAGGUAUACGAGAAUAACGCAGCUUGGCGAAGCCGGGGCCCUUUAUGGCUUUUGUUUUCCCUUUAUUUUAGCGAUGCCGUAAACCGAUCGUAACGAGCAAAUAAUCGCCAUCAUUUAGUAUAGAAAACUCGUUGAAAUUGCUUCGUCGAAAAACUUUUAUCGUCGAGUGCGCUUCGCGAGCAAGCCAGACGUUCGAAUCCCCCCCCCCGUUACAGCUGCUUCACUCAGCAACUCACCGAGGCUCACACUCUCCUGUACCCCGCAUCCCUUUCGUCCUUCAAACUCGCGAUUUCGCACCGAAAAAAAUCACAUAUUUCACCCUCGAUCUUUUUAUUCUUAACGGUGCUAUUUUCUUCUUUUUUUUUUUUCCCCUCCAUGAAUUUUUCCAAAUACCUGCGCGGAAGGAAAAAAAUUCGGAAAAAUAGAAUCACAUUCUGAAAUUUCAUUUUUGCUUUUAUUGCUCACAAUCGUACAAUUGGUGACUUUGAUUCCCAAUUUUUCGGCAGCUACGAUACAUAUGUAUACAUUUCUUUCUCAAGCUAAGAACUAAAAAUAAGUCCGUAGACGCGUUUAUAUCGUAUUUGACAGUUCGGUCAUUUAUUUGAGUCAGAAGAUAGAGUUGUUGCAGUUUCCAAAGACUUGGGGGAUUCGCUCGUGAGAUUCAACUGGCCGGCAUUGAUGGAUAACGUUUGUCGCGCGUAUACUGUACGUAAAACUCUCGGACUAUUCGAUGAAAACAAAAAAAAAAAAAAUCAUCAACAACGAGCAGCCAACAAUUGAAAAAUAAUUAAUCGAGAUUACUCCGCGAUUUUAAUUAAAAUUAGGAGAUCGCAAAGAGAGACCUGUGUAACUCGGUGUAUAUUUUCGGUCCGUCAUCAGAGCGUCUGCUGUAGGGUAGGUUUUUAAGGUUCCACCUCUGGUUUUGUGGAACACGCUAUCUCGCGUGCUAAUAGUGGUGGUUCUGUGAAGUACUUCUUGGAGUUGUUAACUCCCCGAAAUUACGUCGCUCGGACAUUUCGCUGCAAUGUUUGGGAAAGGUUCGUUCUAUCCUACGUUAUACGCUCGUACAUACAUACACACGUACGUUAUACCGGUUUCUAGUCAUCGCGGAAAUCGCAAUAACUUCUUUGAAACUAGACGUCAAAAAGUUUUUCCGCUCAUGGAUUAUAAAUGCGAGACUGAGACGAUGUGUGCGUCCGAAUCAACCCCUCGAAAAUUCAUCAACCUUUGAAGUUUUCGAUAGCGUGCAACCGUGUCCACUGAAAAAAAGGAGAUAAGUUUUUUUUUAUCUCAAAUUGCGAAAUUUUUUAAUGUAACAAGUUACGUAUUCAUGCAUUUACCGAUAUAUUCUCGUACGAGAGCUCACAUUCUCAUGGAACAGGUUACACGUUGUACAUAUGUGGGAAGGAAGAUAACGGAGCAACGCGAAAAGUGGGAAGUAUACCUAUAGGAAUAAUUUUUUCGAGUCCAACGUAUCCCUGAAUAACAGCGGAUCUUCGUAUCGUCUACACGCUACCGCGGGCAUCGUGCGUGCUACACGACUUCUUUGCAUCUGAACGAUCCGGAAAAGUUCCGCUUUCAAAUGUUUAUCGAAAAUCGUUCCAUAUUGCUUUUGCUCUCCUUUUCUUUUCUUUUUUUUUUCUUCUUUUUUUUUUUGUCAUUUUUUGCAUGCCCCUCGAUCGGGCGGGACCCGCGACUCCGCGACGUUUCCUCGUGAAAAAGCUCAAAUUAUUGAUAGGAUCACGUCUUCUGUAUCCUUUGUCCCUCUAGCGAUAUUCCCGAUAUUCCCGGGAAAGAAAAAAAUAGAUACCUACGUAUCUAAGCGUACGCAUACCCACUUCGAAACGAAAUAAGAUAGUUUCCUAUACAAAUGUAAUAGCCGGGCUUCGAAAAAAGCGAUAUCAGGGAUUCUUUCUCUUCCGGUUCGAUUUCCGAUCCGGUUUUCUCUCCCGCUUUUCGAUUCGGAAUGAUUUAUUCGUCGGGCAUCGAGACUUUUCACAUCAAUUAAGUUCGUUAACAGGUAUAAUUAUACACCUACGUGACAAUCCAUUCACUGUAUACCUUCCGUCGAAUUUCUGCAGCAUAAUUUAUUCGUUUGGAUAUUUUUUGUAUUUUCCGUUUCCACGUUCUACUCCACCUCCGUUUUACCAUUUUUUUCCCUUCGCGUCACCGACCGACAUUUGGCUUCAUGAAAGUUGGAGGAUGUAGCUUUGCCUGCUCGGGUGUACCUAAACUAAUACCAAAGUACACGUGUCACUCCGUAAAGGCUUAACAGUCGAGCGAAGGAUGACUAACCUGAGGCAGGAAGUAAUUAAGAAGACUUGGCUGACAGAAACGUUCAUCCCUCUGCAACCACGUGGUGAUACCUUGCCAUCCUAUACGUUAAGCUCUUUUGGGUAUGUCUAAAACCGUAUCCAGCGCACACAAAGUAGAUGGGUGUAUACAUCUAUAUACCUAUAGAACCACCUCGUUAAACUUCCCCGGGCACAGGGCGAACUUACCCUAAAUAAAAUACAAUGAAAUAAAAUAAAAUCGUACGACCUUUUUGUUUUACGGUAUCACAUUUAUUUUCACCGAUAUCGACUGAGAGAGCGUAGAGAUAAAAAAAGAUAAAAACCGAAUCGAAAUAUCUCGCAGCAAGACGAAAAAAAUAACGAAAGAUGAUGAAAUUCUAUAAAUUGCCUGACCUGCAGCGAUUCCCGUGAACUGGGUCACCCCGUAUACACACGGAUAUUUUAUUUAAACCGACGUAGUCGUAACCCCACAGCGUCGAGGUAUUACGGUAUUUGAGUACCAUUUUUUUAUUACAGAAAAAGCACCCCCUCCCGGAUAUAUAUAUGUAUACAUAUAUAUUUUUUUUGACGCCUCGGAGCUGAAUAUUCGCCUCGUAGCGGAGAAAGCCUUGACGUACGUCUUGUGACCUGUAUAAAAACGAGAAGUGGGAUCAUAAAUCCGAUCGGGAAUCUAUACGCGGAGGGCUCAAGUGUCACCGAAAACUAGGUAUAGUACAGUAGCUCGUAUCAGACCAUGCUCCAGGUGGAAAAUGAUCCGCGGAAGACGACGGGGAGGGUCGGAGCUUGGCGCACGACGAUUUCGAAUCAGAGCACGUAUAUAUAAGGAGAGGGUAGGGGGAACAUCGCGCCCUUAACCCGUUCUCCAGUUUUCGCUCACCUCUCAAACCCUUUCUUUCCUACCCUCUCCGGCGAAAGCUCGGUCUACAACUUGACUGAACAUUCCCCCCCCCCCCCCUCCCCCCUUUCUUUUAUUCUUCUUCCCUUACUUUUUCUUCUCUUUAUUUUUUAUUUUUUCUCUCCUCCUUUCGGGAUUAGCCACAAUUGGCAAAAGUGGCGAGUGGGAAGAUACCCAAUUUAGCAAAUCAGUGGCAACGGUUGUAAUGUUAUUAUUUUUAUCAUGAGGAAAAAUAUAUAUUUCGACCGGAGGUUCCGAAGGUACGAGAUAAAUUCGUAAGGAAAAAUGAAAGGGGAUUUUACCGAAUGCUCGAAUGACCGGGGCAGGCGAGCAAAUUUACCUUCGAGAGGUAUAGAGGGGGGGGGGGGGGGGGGGGGGGUUGGUCGGUUGGUUGAGGGAUGCAAGAAAAGAGCAGCGGGGCGUAAUCCGGUAAAUUAACUUGUUCGCAACUUGAUAAUAUGCGGGUUAAACGCGGCGGGGUUUAUUUAUCAGCCAAAAAAAAAAGGGGCUGCCAUUUCCUACCUUAUCUAUAGUAAAAAACGAUUAUACGUAUAACCCGGGUCACCCGAUUAUAACUCAACCGAGUUAUUAUUCAGAUAUUACGAUGACUGUGCCGAAGAGAUCUACAUGUCAUUUCCACCGCGAUAAAAUAAUGAAUUAUUACACCAAUUUCGCGUUGGCCAAAACCCUGAAGUCCGGGGGAUAUUGCGACGACCGUAGGGGAGGAGGAUUCUUCUUCAAAUUCAUUGAUAAUUUUUUUCCCAUAUCCAUUUCCCUUGACCGGAUAAUCGACGAUUCGCUAAAGGUCGGCGUUGUUGACAUUCGAUUAUUUUACAAAACUUAUACGAUGCGACAAAUAAUGUGAUGUUAUUUCGCCACGCGACGACGACGACGACGGAACCGCUUAAUUAGAACGAGGUCCGAAUCCCUGGGCGUAUAAACGCCACACAUUUCGACAAAUAUCCCCGUCUAUCGGGUGAGGUGAAAAUCGGUAGCGGCAAAAAACGGGACCAAUUUUAAACCGAGUGAAAUUAUUUCUGGAAUACGAAAAAAAAUCAAUUAUUCGGUGAACUGGAAUGAUUCCUGCGUACAUAACGUCGUUCGAAUAUUAUUGACGAUCACCGUUGAGUAGUAGGCAUGAACUUGGCAUAUUCUUCUGAAUUCUUAAUGGCCACCCAGUUUGUAUUUGAGGCCGGAGAAUGACCAAGCCAAUUGUAGUCCGACCGUCGGAUAACUUCCCCGUAAUAACCCCGUUAAAACGAAAUGGAUCCCCCCGCGCUAUAGGUACGUACGUACGAACCGAUGAAAGUGCCGACCCCGCGCUACUGUGGGAACAAACCGUGUGCUCGAAGUAUAAGGUAGCAAAAGUUGCUUCAAGGCGGUUACCGCGAACGGUAGGUGCGUCUAUUUAUUCGGAAGGGAUAUGAAAAAAUGAGUUGAGAAAAAAGGUAUUAUAUCAGGAGGGGUGAAAAUUAUAAAUUUUUUUUUUCCGUUACGCUUAUUCGCAUUUUUGGUUGAGAAAUCGCAACGUCGUCGUCGUCGUCGUCGUCGUCGUCGUCGUCGUCGUCUCUAACUCUCGUAGGAAGAUCAUAUAUCAAUUCCAAGCUCGCACCGGGAGCCGCUUUUGUCCGAUACCGCCUGUUACCACCCCUUCCAGAAUAUUCCAGCGUCACCGUUCUCCUCCCGCAUCUCCGAUAAAUCGUGCGAAACGACCGUUUUGAGUGACAUUUUUUUUACGACCAACAACGUGUGCGAUCUACUUUUUAUUUUCUCUCGCGGACAGGUGAAAGGGAAUUUUGAUUAUCUCUUCGAUUUUGGUAUAUGCCGAAUUCGGUGAGCGCGUCCCUCGCGAAACUCCCUUCAUUAAAGUCAUUCAUAUUCAUCCGGAGUUAUCAAGGAGAUAAAAGUUUCGCGCGGAGCAUAUAUUUCUGCAGCUUUUGCAAUUCUUCAGUCUUUCCAGAUUCAUUCAUUGUGGACCUUUGCAGCAGUGAAUCGGAGAUUUUCCUAUUCAAACUUUAAUUAAUCCAGCUGCUGCUGCAGUUUCUCUACUUCGAAUAUCCUACCCGUACCCUUCAGAUUGCAUCUUCCAUCUUUUCUCAUACUGAUUGCCUUAUAGCUAAAGUUAUACCCAUCACUACUUAUUCCCCCCCCCCCCUACCACACCCCUUUUUUCGCAGUUAUCUCUCCCUCACAUACAGAUCAAGCGAAGUUUAUUUUCUGGUUCGAAUUCAAGUUUAGAAAUUACAAACAGUCACGUUAUACGUCAUAUUAUUAUAAUAUUUUAUAUAAGCCAACUAUACCAUCUCGUCAGCAUCUGGAUGAGCAUUCUAAUUGAGGUGAACAACGCGGGGAUUUCUGUACGUGUUAUAUUAUUGUAUGCGACUAAAAUAAUGAGAUAUGUUGGAGCUCGCAGCUUGCAGUUUGAACUACGGACAACCUUAACUCAUAUAACUGAAGUUGUCUACUAAGUUAAAAGUUUCUUCUACACCAGCUACGCUCGGAUAGGUCAUACUUCUUGGCAUUAUUCCUGGGCACUUAUUUAAUUAUGUCAAGUACUAAUUGUCUCUCACUCGCCCUCGUGUAAUUACACAUAGUGUAUACACCGAUCUCGUAAUAUAUCCGAGUGAAAUAAAUAGUAGAAAGAAAAUAGAAACUUGGCCAAUGAAAGAAGGACUUUGGUAAAUAUUUCUCAUUCCGUAAGAAUUUUUUGAAAUAGGAUCCCUUUGAUCGUAGCUAUGAACAUAUCGAUGUUCGAAUUGAGUUUCGAAAGUAGCGGGUAAAAAUGGAGUUCGAAAAAAUACGGUAACAUUUUCCAUAAAUGGAGCGACUGCAGGAGCACCGGGAUCAUGAUCUCGUAUAUAUAUAUAUAUAUAUACAGUGGAGUCCCGGAGGUUACGGGAGAGUUUGAUCAGCUCGGUAGAAGUGACGUCACGUGUGUAGGGUGGUCGAGAAUAUGAUAGGGGUUCAAAAUACGUGAGGAAAAUCGUUUACCGGUCAAACUACGUGUGUGUUAGAUUGUAUAGGUAAUACAAAUGUGUGCGGGGGCCUGGUUACGGGUACAUCGGAAACACCGGGUAACAAGCUUCGACCUAUGCAGCGGCGCAUUGGACUACGUGCAUUUCUCGAGAUACCGGCAACACACAAAAUGAAUAUUCCGCGUGCGUAUGCACAUACCGUCCCCCCUCCACACGACCGCGAACAUGGGCUUUUAAAACCGGACUCGGUCUCGCCCCCUCCGCCCCCCCCCCCCCCCCCCUCCUUUUUUCAUAUUCUAUAAUCUCGUUAAUGGCUUGAAUUCCGCGUAGAUACUAUACUUCAUUGGUAUCCGGUUUCCCCGCGGUUUGAUGUCGGAAUAACCGAUACCUUUGGACGGAAUCCCGAUACGAUAGCCGACUUUAUUCCGAGUCGACGAGUCGCGAAUAUAUUUAUUUUGUUUUUCGGCCGCUUGUAUUUUCUGUAUCUCGAUCUGGAAAAUACUUUACAUCCGUUUCGGUUCAGCAGCCGAGGAAGGCCGGGCGAGAUCUACGUUUAACGAAAAUUUCGCGUUUCAUUUCACCGCGGUAGAGGGUGGUAUAAAUAGCGAGGGGUGCCUCGCCGUGCCUCGGCAUAGUUGCGGUCGAUUAGAAACAUAAAACAAAUAGAAGGAUAAUUUCCCGGUAAGGCUGCGACGGGUAGAUAAGAGGCUACGUUGCUGCUUCGCGUACUUUUCGUGCGCUUUCUAAUCGACGUAGGAACAGAAGCUCCGGGUAUCUAUCUCGUGUAUACCUACCUAGGGCUGGCUUUUGGACAGGAGUGAUGCUAGUUUCGUUCGAUUUUAUUAUCAUGGUUUUUCUUUUUUUCUUUUUUUUUUUUUCCCUCUUUCUCGUUCCAUUCAGGAUCUUGCGACCCCGCGAAAAGAUUGGCCGUUUGUGCGGGUGAGGCAUAAAAAUGAAAGAAAAAAGGACGCACGAAGAGGAGAGGCAAAAGAUUUUUAAUUUUCUUUUUCGUUUUCCUGUUUUUUUUUUUUUUUUUUUUUUCUUUUUUGCUUUCUUUGAUUUUCUUUUCAUUCCUCUCCGCUUCCACCCCCUCCACCCUUCAUUUUUACGACGGUGUAUGUAUAAAAUACAAGACGAACGGAGCGCCGGGGCAUAUGGUGCCAUGUUACCAGAAAGCCAGUCAACCCCGACCCCAAUUCCCCCGUCGUCGAAGGCAGCCAUCCGCCAACCAGUCAGCUACUCAAAAUUCAACCCUCGCAGGAAAAAUCACGCAGUUGGAAACUUCGGUGUUGGAGGGGAAGCGAAAAAGGAAGGAACGAACGAGAAAAAAAAAUAAACGAAAAAUAGAGACUGGAAAAAAUAUCUACGUACACGUAUGUAUGUGUUAUCUGGAUCGUGAGCAACAGAUUUCUAUCCGUUCUUUGAUACUUACGGCUCAAUAUUAUUUUAUUUUCGUAAAAUCAUUCGACAUUUUUCGGAUUGAUUUUAUCGACACAUUCCGUUAUCCAGAUGAAACAGGCGCCAGGACCGUCUGUGAAGUAGGGUGGGACCCUACGGUCUUUGAGGCAGUUUUUGUACCACUUGAUCUCUUCUUCUUCUACAGUUUCUUCAUCCGAGGGCGAAAACUCCUUUUCGGCGUGCCGAGGCUGUGCGGAUUCUGUCCUUACGUUAGGGUCUCUCUUGAGCAACCCAUUAGAGUACAACGACCAGUCAAAGGACCUUCUACCGCCCUGGAUGAAAUUAAUCAACAAAUUUUUCAACUCCACGUCGUCAGAAACCCCGCUCGCGAAGUCUUGGUAACGAUCAAACUGGUUAAUCACCUGGAGAAGGACGAAAAUUGGUUCUCAAACGGUGGAGAAUGAGCGGCCUCGAUACAACUUUGCCCUGCAUCUGAAACGCAAGACUCAUCGAGAGAUCUGCAUAGUUGUGUAUCGACUAUUUGAAUGAGUUAUUAUAUACGUACAAUGCUCCAGUAUGAAAUUUUCAAUUGGAGGACUGUGGAAUGAUUAUUCUAAUGUUACUUAAGAAAGAAGUGAUGUCUUCACUAUUGUAACUCGUUAUAAUCAAAAGUAAAAAGAAAUGUCUGUUAAUAUUGAUCUAUAAGAUGUAUGACUAAAUCUUCACAUGCAUAUUGUACGUGAAUUUAUCAAUAAACAUGAACUACAAUGAA